rnacentral:rRNA from 1 species
GACGUAGGGCGCGAGCGUUGUCCGGAUUUAUUGGGCGUAAAGAGCUCGUAGGCGGUUUGUUGCGUCGGCUGUGAAAUCCCGAGGCUCAACCUCGGGUCUGCAGUCGAUACGAGCAAACUAGAGUGUGGUAGGGGUAGAGGGAAUUCCCGGUGUAGCGGUGAAAUGCGUAGAGAUCGGGAAGAACAUCGGUGGCGAAGGCGGUCUGCUGGGCCGUUGCUGACGCUGAGGCGCGACAGCGUGGGGAGCAAACAGG